CCUACGGGAGGCAGCAGUAGGGAAUUUUGCGCAAUGGGCGAAAGCCUGACGCAGCAACGCCGCGUGAUCGAGACGCCCUUCGGGGUGUAACGAUCUGUCAGUGGGGACGAAACUUGACGGUACCCACAGAGGAAGCACCGGCUAACUCCGUGCCAGCAGCCGCGGUAAUACGGGGGGUGCAAGCGUUGUCCGGACUCAUUGGGCGUAAAGAGUUCGUAGGCGGCACGUAAAGUCUGGUAAUAAAGGCAGAGGCUCAACUUCUGUACGGCACUGGAUACUUGCGAGCUAGAAUGCGGUAGAGGUAAAGGGAAGUGCUGGUGUAGCGGGGAAAGGCGUAGAUAUCAGGAGGAAGAACGGUGGCGUAAGCGCUUUACUGGGCCGUAAUUGACGCUGAGGAACGAAAGUCAGGGUAGCAAAUGGGAUUAGAUACGCCUGUAGUC
rnacentral:rRNA from 1 species